GAUAAGAACGAGAGUGGGGAGAGAACCGAGUUCGUCUAGGUGGUACACACAACCUUAGGCAAUAGGCUUGGCCACAUCAUUCGGUCGCUGGGGGCAGUCCUUUAUAAGAUGUUGGGUGUUUUUGCACCAAUAGCAAGUGUGGUUGAUAUGCUGACAUGGUAGGUCACCAUGCGAGCAACCCCAAUGUUGAUAGUAUUGGGUAGGUCAGGUAAGUUAUCCAGUAGGUGGAGGCAAGGUAGGGGGAACGGUAACUCUGGUUUGUUUAUUGGGGU
rnacentral:lncRNA from 1 species